rnacentral:rRNA from 1 species
GAUGGCUCUAACUGAACACUGUCCAAGUACUUGACACAUGCUAAUCGAACGACUAAUUAGUUUAAUAUUAUUAUAUAAUAAUUAAAUUAAGUAGUAGUGGUGUACAGGUGAGUAAAAGAUAAAUUGGCUACCUUAAAGUAAGGGAAAAAAUCCCUUAUAACCAAAGGUUUAAUUACCGCUUUAAGAUGAUAAUUUUUAUCUCGGUGAGUAGUAGGAAAGGUAAUGACUUUUCUAGCAAUAAACCGUAGUCGUAACUGGAAAGUUGAUCGACCACAUUGGGUCUGAAAAAAACCCAAUGCUUUUAUGUACAGCAGUGAGGAAUAUUGGUCAAUGGCCGAAAGGCUGAACCAGUAACUUGGAAGAAUGAUAAUGUUAACUUUAUAUAAGUGCAUUCGCGAUUAACUCGCAUAAAAUUCUAAAUAGAUUAGAUAUAAUGACAUAAUCUAUUUAUAAGUCUUGACCAAACUACGUGC